GAAUCUUGCGCAAUGGGCGAAAGCCUGACGCAGCCACGCCGCGUGCCGGAUGAAGGCCCUAUGGGUUGUAAACGGCUUUUGAGGAGGAAGAACGAGCGGGUUUUGACCUGCUGUGACGGUACCCCUUGAAUAAGCACCGGCUAACCCCGUGCCAGCAGCCGCGGUAAUACGGAGGGUGCAAGCGGUGUCCGGAAUCAUUGGGUGUAAAGGGUGCGUAGGUGGGAGCCUAAGUCUGGGGUGAAAUCUUGCCGCUUAACGGUAAAAUGGCCUUGGAUACUGGGUUUCUUGAGUAUAGAAGAGGUAAGUGGAAUUCGUGGUGUAGCGGUGAAAUGCAUAGAUAUUACGAAGAACAUCAGUGGCGAAGGCGGCUUACUGGUCUAUAACUGACACUGAGGCACGAAAGCGUGGGGAGCGAACAGG
rnacentral:rRNA from 1 species